AAGACGAUGGUUGUCAGGUGUAGUGGAAUCGUAUUCAGACUCGAAAGGGAUGAUCAGGGAGUUCUCUGGACACGCCACGCUGGCUGGGGUUCCACUGGCUUCGGGCCUACCUCCCUGUGGCCGUCCAUAGCCUUCCGGAGCCACGCGGCGGCAGUGUGGACGAACUGACUCUGCUGAGAGGGGAGCCGGUCUUUCCCAGGUCAGAGGGUCUGCAUUGUUUGGGGAGCUGGCCAGGUACAGGCUCUCAGUGCUGCCUGAGCCUCACCGGGUGGUGCCCCUCUAAACCAGAGAGACGGCUGGCUCUGCUCACAGACAGAGCUCAGAGCGGCGAGGUUGCUCCGGGGCUGCCUUCUCAUCUCGUGACUGGGGCGUAGAUUCCCAUGAGCUGGCUGACUUCAGAAACUCCUGAGGAGACGGCCAAGUGUGCUGACUGCCCCCUCCAUGUCCACCAGAGAGUGAGGCGUAGGAAAGGCCCCGAGGCAGAGGAGGUCAGGCCAGGCACCGUGUCGGCGUUCUCCUGCCUCUCAACUGCCAUCUCCUUGGGGCUAAAAUGGAGUGAGAAGAAAAGGCCCAACCGACCCUGAGCCGUUUAUUUAUUGGCAGCUUCUGGACAUGGCACCGUGUCUGAUGCAGCCGAAUAACUGUGCAGGAGCUGCAGAGCCUCGGUUAACUCCCGGGACUGCAACAUUCGGCUUCCUGCUUCUCCAGGCGUCGUCCCGGUGGUAUUUCAGCCCAGGGAGACAGUUCUACUUCACUCUGAGCUCAGGGCUAAAGCUUAACCUUUGGUCCCCAUGAUAAUCAGUUGGGACUCUCUGUUGGCCAUAACCCGGGCGGUAGAACACACCCGAGGUCUGAGAACUACAGUGUUUACUGAGCUGGUGUUUCUGGGCCGUGUUCAAAGGACACCUGGCAGGUACACACAGACAGCCUUGCCAGCAAAGGGACCCCAAACGUCACAUAAACCAGGAAGUCAGAGCACAGCGCACGAAAUCCCGUCCCUGUCGCCUGCCUGCCAUAAAGUGACUCCUUCCGGCAUGGACGAGAGCCAGCCUUUCAUCUGUUAUUUGACUGAAUGAUGAAAGUGGCAAUUAAGUUUUCAUAGGGUGUGUUUACAUAACUUUCUUUUGAAAAGCCAACAGCAGUGUACACAACCAGCUGCCUGUGUAUCUGCACAGGCUGGGGUGGGACAGGCUGCUUUGUGGUAAACACAGGGAGCUCACCACACCGGGUUCUUUAUUUUCAACUUCUAACAAAGUUUUCCAUUAACUAAGAACUUUGUUGGUUGGUUCAUUCUGGCUACUAAAAUAAGAAGUGAAACUUG